rnacentral:rRNA from 1 species
AUACGUAGGGUGCAAGCGUUAAUCGGAAUUACUGGGCGUAAAGCGUGCGCAGGCGGUUUUGUAAGACAGAGGUGAAAUCCCCGGGCUCAAACUGGGAAUUUGCUUUGUGACUGCAAGGCUGGAGGACGGCAGAGGGGGAAGGACUUCCGCGGUUAGGAGCGAAAUGAGUAGAUAUGCGGAGGAACACCGAUGGCGAAGGCAAUCCCCUGGGCCUGUACUGACGCUCAUGCACGAAAGCGUGGGGAGAAAACAGGAUUAGAUACCCUGGUAGUCCACGCCCUAAACGAUGUGAACUGGUUGUUGGGUCUUCAUUGACUCAGUAACGAAGCUAACGCGUGAAGUUGACCGCCUGGGGAGUACGGCCGCAAGGUUGAAACUCAAAGGAAUUGACGGGG